AUUGAACGCUGGCGGCAGGCCUAACACAUGCAAGUCGAACGAGUGGCGGACGGGUGAGUAAUGUCUGGGAAACUGCCUGAUGGAGGGGGAUAACUACUGGAAACGGUAGCUAAUACCGCAUACCAUCAGAUGUGCCCAGAUGGGCUUAGCUAGUUGGUGGGGUAACGGCUAACCAAGGCGACGAUCCCUAGCUGGUCUGAGAGGGUGAACGGCCAACCUGGAACUGAGACACGGUCCAGACUCCUACGGGAGGCAGCAGUGGGGAAUAUUGGACAAUGGGCGCAAGCCUGAUGCAGCCAUGCCGCGUGUAUGAAGAAGGCCUUCGGGUUGUAAAAUUCUUUCAGCGGGGAGGCGUUACCCACAGAGGAAGCACCGGCUAACUCCGUGCCAGCAGCCGCGGUAAUAC
rnacentral:rRNA from 1 species